CAAAUUAGAGCUUGUUGGAAAGUUUUUUAUUUACAUUAAAGAGUUAGUUGUUUAAAUCAAUUUAAUUUGA
rnacentral:tRNA from 1 species